UUGUCCAGUUGGCUCUCCUCUGUCCGUCAGUGUCAGUUGGGGCGGUCGGACAUUGGACAUAGAGCAACAUUGCCCGUUACAGGGGAGCAGCUCAUAGUCAGGAGCUUUAUCCUAAAGGCAGGGCAAGACAAU